UACGUAGGGUGCAAGCGUUGUCCGGAAUUAUUGGGCGUAAAGAGCUCGUAGGCGGUCUGUCGCGUCGGCUGUGAAAACCCGGAGCUCAACUCCGGGCCUGCAGUCGAUACGGGCAGACUGGAGUUCGGCAGGGGAGACUGGAAUUCCUGGUGUAGCGGUGAAAUGCGCAGAUAUCAGGAGGAACACCGGGGGCGAAGGCGGGUCUCUGGGCCGAUACUGACGCUGAGGAGCGAAAGCGUGGGGAGCGAACAGG
rnacentral:rRNA from 1 species